rnacentral:rRNA from 1 species
GUGGGGAAUAUUGGACAAUGGGCGAAAGCCUGAUCCAGCCAUGCCGCGUGAGUGAUGAAGGCCUUAGGGUUGUAAAGCUCUUUCAGUAGGGAAGAUAAUGACGGUACCUACAGAAGAAGCCCCGGCUAACUUCGUGCCAGCAGCCGCGGUAAUACGAAGGGGGCUAGCGUUGUUCGGAUUUACUGGGCGUAAAGCGCACGUAGGCGGAUUGGUCAGUGAGAGGUGAAAUCCUGGAGCUCAACUCCAGAACUGCCUUUAAUACUGCCAGUCUAGAGUCCAGAAGAGGUGAGUGGAACUCCUAGUGUAGAGGUGGAAUUCGUAGAUAUUAGGAAGAACACCAGUGGCGAAGGCGGCUCACUGGUCUGGUACUGACGCUGAGGUGCGAAAGCGUGGGGAGCAAACAGGAUUAGAAACCCGGGUAGUCC